rnacentral:rRNA from 1 species
AACGAACGCUGGCGGCAGGCCUAACACAUGCAAGUCGAGCGAGGACUUCGGUCCUAGCGGCGGACGGGUGAGUAACGCGUGGGAACGUGCCCUUUGCUUCGGAAUAGCCCUGGGAAACUGGGAGUAAUACCGGAUGAGCCCUUUGGGGGAAAGAUUUAUCGGCGAAGGAUCGGCCCGCGUUGGAUUAGGUAGUUGGUGGGGUAAUGGCCUACCAAGCCGACGAUGCAUAGCUGGUUUGAGAGGAUGAUCAGCCACACUGGGACUGAGACACGGCCCAGACUCCUACGGGAGGCAGCAGUGGGGAAUCUUAGACAAUGGGGGAAACCCUGAUCUAGCCAUGCCGCGUGAGCGAUGAAGGCCUUAGGGUUGUAAAGCUCUUUCAGCUGGGAAGAUAAUGACGUUACCAGCAGAAGAAGCCCCGGCUAACUCCGUG